UCUGGAGACAGGUGCUGCAUGGCUGUCGUCAGCUCGUGUCGUGAGAUGUUGGGUUAAGUCCCGCAACGAGCGCAACCCUUGCCUUUAGUUGCCAGCAGUUCGGCUGGGCACUCUAAAGGGACUGCCGGUGUUAAACCGGAGGAAGGUGGGGAUGACGUCAAGUCCUCAUGGCCUUUAUGACCAGGGCUACACACGUACUACAAUGGCCGAUACAAAGGGCAGCGACACUGCGAGGUGAAGCCAAUCCCGUAAAAUACGGUCUCAGUCCGGAUUGGAGUCUGCAACUCGACUCCAUGAAGUUGGAAUCGCUAGUAAUCGUGGAUCAGCAUGCCACGGUGAAUACGUUCCCGGGCCUU
rnacentral:rRNA from 1 species